CCCCGAGUGGCGGAAAUGGUAGACGCAGCGGACUCAAAAUCCGCCGUCAUUUAUGACGUGUGAGUUCGAAUCUCACCUCGGGGACCA
rnacentral:tRNA from 1 species